UACGGGGGGGGCUAGCGUUGUUCGGAAUUACUGGGCGUAAAGGGCGCGUAGGCGGCCUACUAAGUCGGACGUGAAAUCCCUCGGCUCAACCGGGGAACUGCGUCCGAUACUGGUGGGCUCGAAUCCGGGAGAGGGAUGUGGAAUUCCCGGUGUAGUGGUGAAAUGCGUAGAGAUCGGGAGGAACACCAGUGGCGAAGGCGACUACCUGGCCUGUUCUUGACGCUGAGGCGCGAAAGCUAGGGGAGCAAACGGG
rnacentral:rRNA from 1 species